UGGGGAAUAUUGGACAAUGGGCGAAAGCCUGAUCCAGCCAUGCCGCGUGUGUGAAGAAGGUCUUCGGAUUGUAAAGCACUUUAAGUUGGGAGGAAGGGCAGUAAGCGAAUACCUUGCUGUUUUGACGUUACCGACAGAAUAAGCACCGGCUAACUCCGUGCCAGCAGCCGCGGUAAUACAGAGGGUGCAAGCGUUAAUCGGAAUUACUGGGCGUAAAGCGCGCGUAGGUGGUUCGUUAAGUUGAAUGUGAAAGCCCCGGGCUCAACCUGGGAACUGCAUCCAAAACUGGCGAGCUAGAGUAGGGCAGAGGGUGGUGGAAUUUCCUGUGUAGCGGUGAAAUGCGUAGAUAUAGGAAGGAACACCAGUGGCGAAGGUGACCACCUGGGCUCAUACUGACACUGAGGUGCGAAAGCGUGGGGAGCAAACAGG
rnacentral:rRNA from 1 species